GGGGGAUUGGGGGGCAAAAUUUCUCUUCAAAGUUUGAAUGGUGCCAAUCACAUUAAUUGUGAUGCCCAAUGCGGAUUCUUUGGAGAGAUCACGAAUAAUGCUAAUGACGUAAAAAUAAGUGGAAUGAAUGUAUGCAAUGUGAGAAUAUGAGUUUGUGUGAAGUGAAAAAAAGUAAUAAAAGAUAAUGGUGUAUAAGUGGGAGUGUGCAAAUGAGUGUGCAAUGUAAGGUGAGUAAAGUGAUAGUAUGAAGUGCACGUGAUAGCAUAUAAAGUGCUAGUGGUAGAGUGAGAAUGUGUAAGAUAAGAGUCAUGUGCAAUAUGAAAUGCAUGAGCCCUAGAGGAAUGCAAGCAAGACAGGUACGGGGGACUAAUGUUCGUGACUUAAUUUUCCUUUUGGUUAGAAAAAGAAUGAGCGUGCUAAGGCUAUGUAUAGCCAAACUCGUCCAUCCCCCUUACCAAAAGAGUGACUCCCUAACCUAUACAAGCAAAUGAGCUAAUCUAAAUGAAAAUGUAAUCCUAUAUGUGUAAGGGAAAGGGAGUGAAGGGUCAUGCAAAAAAUGUAAAACUAAAAGGAAAGAAUGAAUGAAGAUGUAGUGAAGGCAUGCGAGUAUGUGCUAGCGAGAAGGGCCCUAUUGGGUCUAGCAUUGGACUAGCCCUUUACUAACGCUCGUUUACAAGCAUUGGACUUGUAAGAGCUCGAGGGGACAAUCAUGACUAGCAUUGGACUAGCCACGGUUACGUGCAUUUGCAUCCAUCAUACACGUAUAUAAGUAAUAUGUAUAAUUAAAGCAAGUAGGCAUGUGAGCACAUAAUUCACGUAACAUAUAAGCAUGCAUAUCUAGAUGCCAAAACCUAAGAAAACGAUUAAACACAUAGCACAUAGACAUGCAAAACACAUAAGGCAAUUAAGGCCCUAACUAUUACAUUUUUAGGGGGGAAGGCCUACUACAAUCUAAAAGGGGAAACAGAAUGAAAUGAAUAAUUUUAAAAAAAUCUAACUAUUACAAUUGUGGCAUUCAAGUGCCUUCCCAAAUGAUCAAAAAGGAACUUAAAUAAAUAUACGAAAAUAAGCAAAUAAAGCGAUAAAUAAAUAAGUAAAUAAAAACAUUCAAAAGGCAUGCAAUUGAGCACAUAUAGUCACAUAAGCUCACAUAGGGUCAAAUAAAGUCAAAAAAUAAAGGAUAAGAUGUACCUCCCUUGAGUUGGAGCUCUAAUGGGGUGAAAUGACUUAUUUACCCUCCAAAAAUAAAGAAAAGGUCAAGGCACCAAUUUAAUUUGAGACAAUUAAAGAAAAAAUGCAACUAACAAACUCACUUGAUCAUAAGCUCUUAAAAUCAUGAAUUAAGUGCAAUUUAAACAAAGCAGGGUAGUUGAUUGAAGCAAACAAGUAAUGAAAAGUUAUAAAAUUAGAGCUGCCAAGGACCAAAUUGAGGAAAUUAUUCAAUUGGUUAGGUCAUAGUAGCAUUAACCAAAAGCCAAAGGGAUGAAAUGCAAUUCUUGAAACCUUUUCCAUGCAAACCAUGCAAACUAAUACGAAGAAAGCUUCUGCAACUACUUCAUAUACUCUUGCAACCGAGAAAGAAAAUCUGCUGCAUUCCUUCCUCAACCGAGACUGGUUGCAAAUUUUCCAACAAAUGUUCUAACAUGAUUCAAAUGUUUCAGACCUACACAUGCAAACCCAACUCGCUCACCCAAUUUUCUCUCAUCAAGUAGGUAAUGAGACCCACUUGGUGGGCCGUUACGGGAGAGGAAACAGCAAAACAGGAGCAUGAAAUGCAGCUUUCUUAUUUCCCUACCUCAACUUAGAUAGGUUUACAUGCCAGUAUUCGACAAACUCUGGUAAUCUAACAUUCAAACCAAACUACCAAGCUUCAACUCAUUGUCAUUAACAUCCCCAAGCAUAAUCAUCUAACCCCCAUAACAUAUGAUUGAAACAGUCGGGCACGAAAUGCAGCAAAAGAAACAGUGAAACUUGCGGCAAAGCAAUCUAUGCACACGAUCAAGUCAUUCCAUUGGGGUAAAUAAGUGAAACUGGACCACAAACCAAAGACAUACAGCUUCACCUUGGUUCAAACAUAGCAUCAAAACUACAAGCCCUUCCUAGCUUCUGGUUUACCAAGACUUUGGCAAAUAAAAUCAUUCCAACACUACCAACUCACUCACUAUCAAAACAUUGGACCCCAAAGGAAAAGACAAUGAAAGCGUCUGAACUAAUGGGUAUGGAUACCAGCUUCAGCUAGAACAGCCGAAGUUUCUAAGACAUAAAAAAAAACUCUGUUGCCGUAACAGACCUGCCGCAUUGUAGUCUGAUGCUACAUCGCAUCUUGCGGCUUAAAAUUGCAGCAGAGCAUACACGACACUGCUAUCAUACAGCAGGUCAAUCCAAACACAAAACAAAACUGAGUCAAGCAAGAAAUUCAGUCACCAGAAAAAAAUCAAAAUGAACAGAUCAUACAACUCUUCUUCGUUGGUUUCCUCUACAGCAACUUAUUCAGUCAUUUCUCGCAAUUUCAAACGCAAACCAGCAAAUUUAUUACCCAAAAUUCAUUAAACUUCAAUACUAACACAACCUCACUAUAGGAGAUCAGUCAUUACAAAUCAAACAAAGAACCAAAUGGGUGAACAUGCAACGACAGAGAAACGAAAUCAGCUUUCUAAAGAACCCUGGAGGCGUUUGUCAAAGGCUAACAUCUUGAUACUAAACUAUAACCUAGGAAUCAAAAAAUCAAACAGACUGUAGAUCCUAACAUGCUAAUCAUGCAACGUAACAGCCAAAGAUAACAGCUUUAGGCUAAAAAUCAUAACCAACAAUAUGCCUCCCAUUGCCUUCCAACAAAAUCAAGAGUUCUGAAUACAAGCAUGGAAAGGAUAACGUUAACAGAUGGAGAGAGUAAUAUACCUGGACAGCCGGAAAAAGGGAUUAGAUUGAAACGAUCUUUAGCAAACACCUUUGCCUCUCCGCGAUGAUGGAAAACGGACGAGGGCCGUGGGUUUCUUCUUCCUCAAUCACUUUUCUUUUGCUCAGUUCCGUCUCUCUCCAACUCCCUCUCCCUUUUUCUUAAUCUCCGCCGCAACUCCAGCUCUUGGGUUUUUCCUUUUCUUCUUGCUUCUGACCUCUCUCUCAAAGCUGCAUUUCUUGUUCUCAAGAACCCCAGCCGCCACUCUCUUCACUCACUCUCUUUUCGGAAGCUCUCCCCCUAGCUCUCUUUUCCCCUUGCUCAACCCAGCCGUCAUCCAACCUCUAUCUGGUUUCUGUUUUUCAAUCCCCCAAAGACCUAGUCUUUUCUUUCUGUUUUGCCGCUCCUUUUCUUCUUUAUCUCACACUCUCUCUCGACCGCUGUUUUCUCUAUUCUCUCAACCUCCCCCAGCCGUCACCAAAAAGCUCCCCA
rnacentral:lncRNA from 1 species